rnacentral:rRNA from 1 species
UACGUAGGGUGCAAGCGUUAAUCGGAAUUACUGGGCGUAAAGCGUGCGCAGGCGGCUUUGCAAGACAGAUGUGAAAUCCCCGGGCUUAACCUGGGAACUGCAUUUGUGACUGCAUGGCCAGAGUGCGGCAGAGGGGGAUGGAAUUCCGCGUGUAGCAGUGAAGUGCGUAGAUAUGCGGAGGAACACCGAUGGCGAAGGCAAUCCCCUGGGCCUGCACUGACGCUCAUGCACGAAAGCGUGGGGAGCAAACAGG